ACUGGAUGCAGCUCAUUUGCUGGUCUCUUUAUUAGAGGACCAUGCAUCUGAUAAGAUACGCAUUUGUUCGUGUACUCCUUUGCAUCGUUCUGCAUAUAGGGCCAGAAGUAUCCUUGAGAAAGCAACCUAUGUGCCAAACUCCUGCCUCCAGAAUGAUUGCCACAACAACCUUCAUGCGUCUCAGCUAACAAUUUCAUCCCCUCAUCACGAGUUACACACCGCAGGUAACGAACAUACGAUUGUCUCCAAUCUUCGGAUUGACCAUUGUCCAUAUCAUCAAUAUCCAUAGGAUCUUGUUGGACUUCAGAUGAACUACCCUCGUUUUCAUUUGCACAAAUUCUAUGUGCAGUCGCCACAGUGUUAUGAAUGCUAGGAAAUUCGUGGAAAUCAACUAUGACAUACCGUGUUGAAUCUGACUCUACUGCCGCUGACAGUGAACUGGUUGGCAACUAACCUUGAAUCGGUUGUCAGUAUGACUCUCCUCGCCCCCAAGUGGAGUGUUGUUUUUAGACCUGAGAUUGCAUCCUCGUACUCGGCCUGAUUAUUUAAGCAGUAAAUCCUAGUCGAACAACUUUUUCUACUCGUACUCCUUCGGGGGAAAUUAGUACGCAACCAACACCAGCUCCGUCGG